UACAGAGGGUGCGAGCGUUGUUCGGAAUUACUGGGCGUAAAGCGCGCGCAGGCGGCUCUUUAAGUCUACUCGUGAAAUGCCGGGGCUCAACCCCGUGCACGCCGAGGGAUACUGGAGGGCUGGAGACAAGUAGAGGCAAGCGGAAUUCCGGGUGUAGCGGUGGAAUGCGUAGAGAUCCGGAAGAACACCGGAGGCGAAGGCGGCUUGCUGGGCUUGGUCUGACGCUGAGGCGCGAAAGCGUGGGGAGCGAACAGG
rnacentral:rRNA from 1 species